ACCCCGGGAGGGGAGUGAAAAAGAACCUGAAACCCUGUGCCUACAAGCACCUAGAGCACGUCAAAGUGUGAUAGGGUACUUUUUGUAGAACGGUCCGGCGAGCGAUUGUAUGCAGCAAGGUUAAGGACUUAAGGUCUGGAGCCGAAGCGAAAGCGAGUUUGAAAAGGGCGUUAAGUUGCAUAUAAUGGGCCCGAAACCGGGUGACCUACCCAUGGUCAGGUUGAAGUGGAAGUAAAAUUCCAUGGAGGACCGAACCGACCUCCGUUGAAAAGGCGGCGGAUGAACUGUGGGUAGCGGAGAAAUUCCAAUCGAACCCGGAGAUAGCUGGUUCUCCCCGAAAUAGUUUUAGGACUAGCCUCAAGUUAGAUACCUGGAGGUAAAGCACUGAAUAGCCUAGCGGCCGAGAGGUUAGCGAAGCUUAUCAAACUCAGAAUGCCAGAGUAUUGAUGCUUGGGAGUCAGACAGUGUCAGAUAAAUGUCAUUGUCAAAAGGGAAACAGCCCAGAUCUACAGCUAAGGUCCCAAAGUCAGGUUAAGUGGAAAACGAUGUGAAGAUACGCAGACAACCAGGAUGUUGGCUCAGAAGCAGCCACUCAUUCAAAGAGUGCGUAAUAGCUCACUGGUCGAGCGUCUUUGCGCGGAGAAUUUAACGGGGCUAAACCUGACACCGAAGCUUAGGCAAUCCAGCAAUGGAUUGGGUAGGGGAGCGUUGUAUACGCGGAGAAACAGUAGCGUAAGCGGCUGUGGAGUGUAUAGAAGUGAGAAUGCCGGAAUGAGUAGCGCGAAUGCAGUGAGAAUCUGCAUGGCCGAAAGCCUCAGGUUUUUGGAGGAAGGUUCGUCCGCUCCAAGUUAGUCGGGAGCUAAGGUGAGGCCGGAAGGCGUAGCCGAUGCACAGACGGUAGAGAUUCCGUCACCACCAAAAGAGUUAAGCACAGGGACACAUUUGAAGUCUCAGAGCCGGGUGUUGGUUCCGGUAGAGAUCGAGGGAAAUUAGUACCGAAGUCUGGGAUGGAAGAUGGCGAGAAAAGCUGUGUGUAUUUCUGAGGUGCCCGUACCGCAAACCGACACAGGUAGGUAGGAAGAAGAUUCUAAGGCCAACGGGAGAAGGGUUGUUAAGGAACUCGGCAAAUUGACCCCGUAACUUCGGGAGAAGGGGUGCUCCAGAGAUGGAGCCGCAGAGAAUCGGCCCAAGCAACUGUUUACCAAAAACACAGGUUUGUGCUAAAUCGAAAGAUGACGUAUACGAGCUGACGCCUGCCCGGUGCUGGAAGGUUAAGAGGAGAUGUGCAAGCAUUGAAUCGAAGCCCCAGUGAACGGCGGCCGUAACUAUAACGGUCCUAAGGUAGCGAAAUUCCUUGUCAGGUAAGUUCUGACCCGCACGAAAGGCGUAAUGAUUUGGGCACUGUCUCAACAGCCCGCCCGGCGAAAUUGUAGUACCGGUGAAGAUGCCGGUUUCCCGCGACAAGACGGAAAGACCCCAUGGAGCUUUACUGUAGCCUAAUAUUGGGUUUCGAUGUUGCAUGCACAGGAUAGAUGGGACACAGGGAAACAAUCGCUUUGGCGGUUGCGGAGUGGCCGUUGGGAUACCAUCCUUGCGAUAUUGGAAUUCUAACCUGCGGCUCUGAAUCGAGUCGGGGGACAUUGUUAGGUGGGCAGUUUGACUGGGGCGGUCGCCUCCUAAAAAGUAACGGAGGCGUUCAAAGGUUCGCUCAGCUUGAACGGAAAUCAAGCAAAAGAGUGCAAACGCAGAAGCGAGCCUAACUGCGAGACUGACGGGUCGAGCAGUAACGAAAGUUGGAGUUAGUGAUCCGGCGGUAUGUGAGUGGAAAUGCCGUCGCUCAACGGAUAAAAGCUACCCUGGGGAUAACAGGCUGAUCUCCCCCAAGAGUCCACAUCGACGGGGAGGUUUGGCACCUCGAUGUCGGCUCAUCGCAUCCUGGGGCUGUAUUCGGUCCCAAGGGUUUGGCUGUUCGCCAAUUAAAGCGGUACGCGAGCUGGGUUCAGAACGUCGUGAGACAGUUCGGUCCCUAUCUGUCGUGGGCGCAGGAUAUUUG
rnacentral:rRNA from 1 species